rnacentral:rRNA from 1 species
UACGUAGGGGGCAAGCGUUGUCCGGAUUUAUUGGGCGUAAAGAGCGUGUAGGCGGUUAUACAGGUCCGCUGUGAAAACUGGAGGCUUAACCUCCAGACGUCGGUGGAAACCGUAUAACUAGAGUCCGGAAGAGGAGAGUGGAAUUCCUGGUGUAGCGGUGAAAUGCGCAGAUAUCAGGAAGAACACCCGUGGCGAAGGCGGCUCUCUGGGACGGUACUGACGCUGAGACGCAAAAGCGUGGGGAGCGAACAGG